GAUUAUGGCUCAGGAUGAACGCUAGCUACAGGCUUAACACAUGCAAGUCGAGGGGCAGCAUGAGCUUAGCUUGCUAAGCUUGAUGGCGACCGGCGCACGGGUGAGUAACGCGUAUCCAACCUUCCCUUAGUAGGGCAUAGCCCGGUGAAAAUCGGAUUAAUACCCUAUGUUCUUCACAGCGGGCAUCUAACGUGAAGCAAAGGUUCACCGCUAAGGGAUGGGGAUGCGUCUGAUUAGGUAGUCGGCGGGGUAACGGCCCACCGAGCCAUCGAUCAGUAGGGGUUCUGAGAGGAAGGUCCCCCACAUUGGAACUGAGACACGGUCCAAACUCCUACGGGAGGCAGCAGUGAGGAAUAUUGGUCAAUGGGCGCGAGCCUGAACCAGCCAAGUAGCGUGCCAGGAUGACGGCCCUAUGGGUUGUAAACUGCUUUUAUGCGGGGAUAAAGUCACCCACGUGUGGGUGUUUGCAGGUACCGCAUGAAUAAGGACCGGCUAAUUCCGUGCCAGCCGCGGC
rnacentral:rRNA from 1 species